CUUGGCUGCUGAAACUACUAUAGAAAUAAGAGGAGGACCCACUUUUUUUUUUAAAUGGAAUUUGGGCUCGUCCAUUUUGGAUCCACAAACUCUCAGAGCCUUUCAACCCUGCAUCCUGCGUGAGGUCAGCACACUUCCUCACAGUGAGACCUCUGAACCCAUCACUGUCUCACUGUCCCCUCCGCCCUCCACUCACUCUUUCAACUGGAGCCACAGUUAGAGCGUGGGACUUGACUUCAUUGCUCUCUUGAAGAUUUUCCCACCCGAUUUGUCUGAAGGACGGCUGUGGUCUGGAAAAGCUCCACCCCACACCCCCAUCUCUUGGGACUCUGAUGGAGGAAUGCGGCAGGCUUUGGAAGACGACAAGCCUGGAGAUCCACGCCUUCCUCCCUCCCAACUCUCCCCAUCUGCUCGCCCUCUCCCACUCACGCACAGCUAAUCCCAGGAAUCCAUCAAGGCCUGUAUACGUGAAACACGAACCAGCUGCGGGAUGUUUCCAGUGGGUAGGCCCUCCUAUGGCUUUGGUCUCAAGUCUCAGCCUGGCUUCCGGAGAGGUCCUGUGCUACAUAUUCAGGUUGGACAAACCGCAAAGAUAUGGCCUUAUAUCCCUGGAGCCCCUGGCCUCUCCCUGUUUCUGUUAAGAAAACCCCUGUGCUGUGUAAUGGACCAUGGUGAGGUGAUAAUGGUCUGCACAAAUUAGUGGGCCACCGUGUCACAGUCCCAAUGCUCAAGUUUCUUCUAACACCCUGCCACAUGCAGCAUGCUAUAGGUAUCAUAUGAUAUAAUGUUUUCGCAGAGCCAAGACACUCCUUUAUCUUAGAGUUUCACAAAUUAACUUGGCAGCUUUGACCAGAGCCAAAUGUAGAUGUCUUAACUGUUGAGCUACGACGGCUUCU